rnacentral:lncRNA from 1 species
GUCUUUCACUCGCCCGGUAUCAAUCAUGCGCUCCCAUUCUUUCAUGAAAUUGGAGUUUCCUAAAUUACUGAACCCUUUCCUUACAUCUCUAAUUUCAACAUGAAUUAUAGAGAUGAAGUUUUAAGAGGUAGCGACGGUACGGUGGUAUUCCACAGUGACGGUCCUUGGUGGCAAACUGGUUACGGUGAGGAUAAGCGAUGAUAUUACGAUGGUGCUUCCUUAAAAUUCUUUUCAUCUAAAAUCAAACCCUGAAACAAAUUCUCACCGAAUAAUGUUGGUCGGAUGCGAAGAUGAACACAUAAACAAUUCAAAUCCAUUAUCCCUCUUCAACCCCGCAAUGAACCCCGUCAGGGCUUUUCGGUUAAAGGGCCGCAAUUAACUCAAUGCAACUUCUGGUGUCCGUUAAUGAUAAUAAGGUGGAAAAGGGAAGCCAUUGAAACAACCAGAGGUUGAAAAGAAAGAAUACAAUGAGUGAAAUCAGGCACUUCCUGUGGGUAUGUUAAUAUCAUUGAAAACUACACGCUUAAUCAACAAUUUGAAUUCGGAAAACGGCUACAUUCUCAACUUUCUCCCUACGUGAAAAACUUAAAAGAGCAAGGGAGUUGUUUGAUGAAAUACAGGAGGAAAAUGUGAUGAUCAACACCUCGACUUAUACUACAUUAAUCGACGGGUACCGGAAAUUAAAGAUUCUUCUGGAAGCAUUUAAGUUAUUAGAUGUGGAAUUAAGUAGAUGAAUCCAUAUAUGGAGCACUUGUGAAGGGCUGUUGUGAAGUAGAGGAUACUGAAAGGGCUUUUUUGGUACUUGACAGAAUGGUAGAGAGUGGGUUUGCUCAACGUUUAACACGUUAUUCGCAGGACAUAGAGGGCAUUUUGGAGAACUUUUGGUACUUCAGACUAAGGGGCAAUUCGUUUUUUGUCGUCAAACAUAUUAAAGAAGGUUGUAAAACCACUUUCUGGUUGCAGGCGACUUAUAUUGAUCAAGUGGUUUCAAAUUAUGUGAAGGAGGGAGGUCUUCCAUAGAAUACUUGCAAGGUUUGAGGGACACGAAUACACCUUUUGUUGAAGUUUCGAGUGCUAAAUUUGAAGAAGACGAUAUUAAAUGCCAGGCUAUUUAUAUUGAUCAAGUGGUUUCAAUCAUGUGAAAGAGGGAGGUCUUAGAUAGAAUACUUGCAAGGAUUAGUGGUCAAGCUUUCCGACAUGGACCUCAGAUCAAUAAUGUCUACCGGUUACAAGUUGUUAAAGUUUCAGGUUCAGCGGACAACACUAUGUUACCUUCAGCAAAAGAUGGUUUAACCAUAUGAGAACAACAAAUGGUUUAACGCUAUGGGAAUUUGGCAUAUAUGGUAUUUUCGAGGCAUUCUUGGGAUACCGACUUCACUACGAGCAAUUAAAUGUGGCGGAGUAAAAAGGAUGGGAAACUUAAAAGUUUUUAAAAUACUUUUAAGUUUUUCUUAUUUCACAAUGUAUUAUUUAUUCUGUCUCGUGAUAGUUCUUCACAAUAUCUGCUACUAAUGUGGUUUAUAAAGAGAUUUUCAACGAAUUGUGAUCGUUGCAUAUUCACG